rnacentral:rRNA from 1 species
CCUACGGGUGGCAGCAGUGAGGAAUAUUGGUCAAUGGACGAGAGUCUGAACCAGCCAUGCAGCGUGAAGGAAGACGGCUCUAUGAGUUGUAAACUGCUUUUAUACGAGAAUAAAAGGAGAUACGCGUAUCUGUCUGAAAGUAUCAUACGAAUAAGGAUCGGCUAACUCCGUGCCAGCAGCCGCGGUAAUACGGAGGAUUCGAGCGUUAUCCGGAUUUAUUGGGUUUAAAGGGUGCGUAGGCGGUCUGGUAAGUUAGAUGUGAAAGUCCGAGGCUCAACCGCGGAAUUGCAGUUGAUACUGGUCGGCUAGAGAGCAGUUGCGGUAGGCGGAAUUCAUGGUGUAGCGGUGAAAUGCUUAGAGAUCAUACAGAACACCGAUUGCGAAGGCAGCUCACUAAGCUACUUCUGACGUUGAGGCACGAAAGUGUGGGGAGCAAACAGGAUUAGAUACCCCAGUAGUC